AAAAAUAAAAAUUUGAUGCAGAAAAAUAAAAGAGAAUUUUAGAAAUUAUUUUGGAUAAAAAGUGAAAUUAUUACGAAUUUUUAAAGAAAAAGAAAUUUAAAAUAAUAAAAGAAAAAGAAUUAAAAUCAGAAAAAAUCAUUAGCGUUCGAUCAUGCUUCAUUAAUUGACGUGCUAGAUCCAACACUCCAAAUGAUAAGAAACACAAUGGAUC
rnacentral:lncRNA from 1 species